CCCCAUCCAACGAAGCGACGCAUCCAGUGGCGAAGCUCGUAUCUUCCACACCAUCGGCGCGCAUUUCUGGAUUCCCCCGCGCGCAUCCGCACGGUGGUGUGGGAAGGGAGGCACAGGUUAGACCCAGGUGAGUGAUUUCUUCACGCGCCCGCGGUUUCGCCCAUCGAUUUCUGACUACGUUUUCGUGUUUGUUCGAUGGAGUUCAACGGCGAGCGCAUUUGGAAUCCGGCGAGGCAUUCGUGGUGGUUGGAGGAGGGGACUGGAAGCGCGGAUUCGGACAGGGGGAGGUCAUCGGCAUCCACAUCUGGAUUUCGGCGAGGUAUUCGCGGUGGGGAGAGAGGGACCGUAAGCGUAGAUGUCAGACCCAGAUUUUCCUCCGAAUGAGGACACCCGCGGUCACAUCAGGUUCAUUUAAGAAUUCGCAUCCAAUAGCAGGGAGUCAUCAGGGGGGAUCAGACCAGUCUUUUGUUUGUUGUGAAUUCAAGGCCCCUGGAGAAUAGAGUUUUUGUUGCUAGCGCAAAGGCUGCCUCCUGGUGAGAAAGUGCAGAAAGUUUAGUCAAGCAGACUCAUUCCUCUUUUUUUUUUUUAAAUUCAGUAUAAGGAACAACAUAUCUAGUUGCUAGAUUUUUUUUACUUGUCUAGGCAUCUAUUAAUUGUGUUUAGUCCUGGGUUAGUUGAUCUAGUAUCUCUAGGAUUAGUUUAUCUUCGAACAGUCGCUCAACAUGCUGGAAGCUUUUCAAAUCCUUUUUUGUUUAAGUCCAGGACAGAGGUGAGUUUGUAUGAAAUCACUAGCCAACUGUUCUGUCGAGAAGCACAAGUACAGUGCGACCAAGCUCGAGAAUAGAUUCCAGUUCUUAGGGUCAGGUUGUAAAUACAAUAGAGAAUAGAUAACUCAGAUCAAGAGCUUAAGAGGAAGCAUGGUUGAUUUAUAGACAUGCCUUUUUUCAUCAGAAGAAAUAAUAGCUUACCUGAAUGAUAGUCAGAGCCAGAGCUAGAUAACUGAAUGCUUUUUUGUUCUUCUUAGUUUUUUUACCAGUGAAAUGUUUUAGCUUAACAGUGAUUUUUGUUCGGUUGGAGGUGGGGGUUCUAGUAUAGAUUUUUAUUCUAAACAGUACCCAGCGAUUGCAACUGCAGUUGUUUUGUAUUUUCUCUCUGAAUUUCAGGGGCAAGUACAGCCUACAGGUGCAGCUCGGUCUCUGUCUGCUUGUCUUCUACUGCAGCAGCUUUUGGUCGAUUAGCAGCUCACACAGGUAAUCAGCAGUGACAAGUGCAGGUAUUGCUUAACUUGUUUUUGCAGCUCAUCCAGCAACAGUAGCUUCUGACAACUUAGCUUGUCAGGUUUGUUCAGAGACACAUUGAGGUACUUAACCACAUGAGCUAUUAUUUAUUACUUUUGCCACAAUGAUCUGUUACUCGAGUUGUCUUGCAUAGAAGUUGUCUGGUUUUUUAUUUAACCCCAUGUGUGGCCUGUAGAUUUUUCCUUGCACUGUUAAUUUAAUCAUCUGUUGCUCUGUCAGGCCAUUAUGUUGUAGUUGCAUUGUUCCAGUAGCUAGCAACUCUUUGUUUUUAUAUCACCUAACUCGAGCUACAACAGCAACACUUAUGUGCUUUUUGUUCAGAGCUUGCCUCUUGUGAAUUGGCUAAUUAGUAAGUUGGUUAAAUGGUGCAUUAUCAGCAUCUUGGUUUGCUCGUCUGGAUUAGCUCUUUUGUGCAGGCAGGUCAAUUCAGUAGCUGCAGCUACAGCUCCAUCAACAGCUUCAAGUGGACAUAAUCAGAAUGCUCGGUUUUCACUGAUCAGGUUCCCAAGUUAUCCUGCUGGGGAGAUCAAGUACAAUGCAUGAAGAAGUCAUACAAAACAAUGUUUAGGACCUGAAAUCCGAUGUGCCUUUUUCUCUGCCUGCAAGUUUCCUCAUCGAAUCGACACUAUAACAUGCUCUUCAACUUGGUGUUUGGUGGUCUUAAAGUUCAUCAGAUUGUCAUCGACAGCAGUUUAGUUGCAGCUUAACCUCGAUUUUUGAUUCAUGAGCAGUAUGGUAGUAGUUGUAGUAGCUCUAAUCUUUUUGUUUGUUCAAUCAGGCAAUCACAUGUAUGCUGGUAGUUUUGAAACUUUGUUAAUGCUUAGAAUUUAGAUGGGUGAAAUGUGUUUGUACAUGUUCUAAUUUGCUUACUAUUUUUCAAAGCUUUGCUUAUGGGAGAGUAAAAAUGAGGUCUGCAAAUUUA